GAUGAACGCUGGCGGCGUGCUUAACACAUGCAAGUCGAACGGUGAAGCAGAGCUUGCUCUGUGGAUCAGUGGCGAACGGGUGAGUAACACGUGAGCAACCUGCCCCUGACUCUGGGAUAAGCGCUGGAAACGGCGUCUAAUACUGGAUAUGAGAUGCGACCGCAUGGUCAGCAGUUGGAAAGAUUUUUCGGUCUGGGAUGGGCUCACGGCCUAUCCGCUUGUUGGUGAGGUAAUGGCUCACCAAGGCGUCGACGGGUAGCCGGCCUGAGAGGGGGACCGGCCACACUAGGACUGAGACACGGCCCAGACUCCUACGGGAGGCAGCAGUGGGGAAUAUUGCACAAUGGGCGAAAGCCUGAUGCAGCAACGCCGCGUGAGGGAUGACGGCCUUCGGGUUGUAAACCUCUUUUAGCAGGGAAGAAGCGAAAGUGACGGUACCUGCAGAAAAAGCGCCGGCUAACUACGUG
rnacentral:rRNA from 1 species